rnacentral:tRNA from 1 species
GUGGCUGUAGUUUAGUGGUUAGAAAUUUACGUUUUGGCCGCAAGGACCUGGGAUCGACUCCCAACAACUACA